GGAUUUUGCCCAAUGGAUGAAAGUCUGAGGCAGCAACUCCGCGUGAGGGAUGAAGGCUCUCGGGUCGUAAACCUCUUUUCUCAGGGAAGAUCCAAGAAGGUACCUGAGGAAUAAGCCUCGGCUAACUACGUGCCAGCAGCCGCGGUAAUACGUAGGUGGCAAGCGUUGUCCGGAUUUACUGGGCGUAAAGAGCGCGCAGGCGGCCGGUCAAGUCCGAUGUGAAAGCUCCCGGCUCAACUGGGAAACGGCAUCGGAAACUGAUCGGCUUGAAGGUGGGAGAGGGUAGUGGAAUUCCCGGUGUAGUGGUGAAAUGCGUAGAUAUCGGGAGGAACACCAGUGGCGAAGGCGACUACCUGGCCCAUUCUUGACGCUGAGGCGCGAAAGCUAGGGGAGCGAACGG
rnacentral:rRNA from 1 species